GAUGAAGAUGGAGAAAUGAGUGGAGAAAUGGACUUCAACGAAUCAAUAAUUGAAGCAGUCAGGAAGUACCCAGGUUUGUGGGACAAAAAGUCGAAGGACUAUGCAAAGAAAAAGACUGUAAAAGAUCUUGAUUGGCAAAGAGUGGCAGCUGAGUGCAGAUGUGAUGUGCAAGCUGCCAAAGAGAGGUGGAAGUCUUUGCGGGACUACUAUCUGGCCAGAAAAAGGAAGACUCUGCCCAGUGGAUCAGCAGCACCUGCAGGUGGCCAUCAGCACCUAGGACCCUAUGG